ensembl:snRNA U7 U7 small nuclear RNA
GAGUGUUACAGCUCUUUUAGAAUUUUUCUAGUAGGCUUUCCGGUAAAGACCAGAAAGCCUAU